rnacentral:lncRNA from 1 species
GGCUGAAAUACUUCACCUCUCAAACUAUAAAACUGGACAUUCUAGCCUUUGACCUUUCAAAACCGGUCAAAUAACCCCCCAGAGUGGUUUUAGAUGGUGGUUUUGUCUUUUUCUCUUUUUUUAUUUAUUUUUACUGAAUCUUUGAAAAAAUAUAAUAAAUCAUAGAAAAAUCAUAAAAUAAAAAAUUCAAUUUUGUUGAACUCCUGAUGAGUAGAUUUAUGGUAUAUUUUAGUAUAAAGUUUUUUUCUACACCGUGAAUAUAUAAUAUGGUAUAUUUUAGUAUAAAGUUUUUUUUCUAUAGCUUUAAAAUGUAUGUUUUUUGGUAAUUAAUUUAAAUAAUUCAUAUAUGUAGUUCUAUGGUCCAAUUGUGGUAAAAUUUUUAUGGUGAGCUCAUUAUUGUAUGCUUAAACUAUAGUAAAAACUUCAUACUCAUUAAAUCACGUAUAACUUAGUUAUAGAUUUAUUUAGCUUUAUUAUUGUUAAAUCUAUGCUUUAUCUAGACUUAACUGAGGGUUUUACGAAGGACUAUUAACGCGUUCUUUUAACCAUAAAUAAAUGAGCUACGACACCUCUUUAGCUGAACAACGUUGUCAU